rnacentral:rRNA from 1 species
CCUGGAAAGGCCGGCGAUACAGGGUGAUAGCCCCGUACACGAAAACAACCUUGAUGUGAAAUCGAGUAGGGCGGGACACGUGACAUCCUGUCUGAAUAUGGGGGGACCAUCCUCCAAGGCUAAAUACUCCUGACUGACCGAUAGUGAACCAGUACCGUGAGGGAAAGGCGAAAAGAACCCCUGUGAGGGGAGUGAAAUAGAACCUGAAACCGUGUACGUACAAGCAGUGGGAGCCCUUCGGGGUGACUGCGUACCUUUUGUAUAAUGGGUCAGCGACUUACAUUUUGUAGCGAGGUUAACCGUAUAGGGGAGCCGUAGGGAAACCGAGUCUUAACUGGGCGUCUAGUUGCAAGGUGUAGACCCGAAACCGGGUGAUCUAGCCAUGGGCAGGUUGAAGGUUGAGUAACAUCAACUGGAGGACCGAACCCACUAACGUUGCAAAGUUAGGGGAUGACCUGUGGCUGGGGGUGAAAGGCCAAUCAAACUCGGAGAUAGCUGGUUCUCCCCGAAAGCUAUUUAGGUAGCGCCUCGGACGAAUACUACUGGGGGUAGAGCACUGUUUGGGCUAGGGGGUCAUCCCGACUUACCAACCCCAUGCA